rnacentral:lncRNA from 1 species
UCUGUAGCUGUUUUCUCAUUUGUCAGUUCCAAAAGGAAUUGAAAACUGGAGGUUUCUGCCUAGUUUCCUUCCUCAUUCUCACAGCCUUGGUUAUUGUCUCCACCAACUCGGUUCAUUGACCUACAAAUGCCAGCUUCUCUUGAAUGUUUUCCAUCUCUUUCCCAGACCAUCCACAGCUGGCAGCCAAGCUUUGCAAGUUUUAUUUCCGAAAUGCUUCUCAACUUCUUUCUAGGUACAGAAGACCACCUGCACCAUCUCUUGCUGGGUGAGAGCUACUCUCUGCAGACGUAGUCACAGCUGGUAUUUCACCAGCAGAUGCCAUGAUUCAAUUCCACCAUAAUGACAUUGGGUAGUCUUUGUCAACUCUCCUCCUUGUGAGGAGGAUGUAAAAACACUUCAGAAACAUACUGGAAAUCUUCAUGAGUAGAUUAAAAACUACAGAAAGAGAAAAAAGGAGUAAAAAGUCGGAGAACAAGACAAGAAACUGUUAGAAUACUAAAGAAGAUGUAGUAUUCUCCCGCACAGUCUGGACUCCAGCACUGCCAUUUUCUGACCUACUUCCAAUCACUGCUGAGCCAAGCUGGAUCAGUUACAAUUCUGAGGCUGUCCAGCAUCACCCUUCUGCUCUGAUUUGUAGCUGAAGCUCAAAGCUGUCUUUCAUCUCUGCUACCUUACUCUGUGCAUGCAAAAGAGGAGAAGAUUGCUCCAGAGAAUCGGCAACUCACCCAAGGGCAAAUAAAUGCUUUGUGGAAGUUUUCAGCCUCUGUGCGAAUCUUGCAAUUAUAGAGCUGAACUCAAGAUAGAAGAUGGAUUUCUUUUCCUUUAUUCCAAAUCUUACUGAGAAAUCUAGGUAAUAUUAUGCAAAUUGCUUAGGAUAAAAGACAACUUGAAAGCCAGUGGUUUGGGAGAGGGUAUAGCCAGGGAAAGUGCUGGUAUUAGAGAGAGUGAUUGAUCGGGACCAAGUCCUCUGAAGUGUUCUAAGGCAGUCAAACCCAUCACUCUCCCUUUUAGUGCUUUCAAAUAUCCAGUCACUGGGUCUCAGCAAUUUGGGUAUUUUCAAAUACUUGUCAUGGAAACCUAUGUUUUGCAGAAAAGGCCACAGAGAGAAAAAUUCAUUCUUUCAUACAGCAAAUACUUACAAUAUUCAAAAACAAAAAUUAUGAUUCCAUAUAGGAACUAUGAAGUAGGUUAGUAGUCAAAUGUUGUCACAACGUGGAAUAUAGGGUAGUAAGAGUUAGCUCAUGUGAGUCAGCUGGCAGAACUAGGCUGUCAUUAUGAACAGAUAGGCAUAAUGCCACAGCCAAAGGCAAGGCAGGGCGAAUGUGUAGAGUGUGUUUAACAGAUCUAUAGAUCAGAGGAAACUGAGUAACUCUGAGAAAGCACAUAGCAUAAUCAGAGGAUCCAGUUAGAAAGAAUGCCCUAACAGGUUUGCAUCAGGAUUGCAGGAGCAGGGAAACCAGAGGCUGAGACAGCUCCAAGAUGGAUAGAAUCCACAGAGAUAGCCAUGGUGCUUCAGUCUGAGUUUUAAGACCCUCCUAGAAUAUUGGUCACUCCAUUAGGCUGAGCAUCAGUGUCUCCUUCUGAGGCUUCUAUAACUGCAGACCCUUGGACUUUCUCCUGAAACUCCUGAUUCAGAAAGUCUAUGAUAAAGCCUAAGGAGCUACACUUUGAAAAUCAAACUCUCCAAAUAAUUCUGAAGUUCAGCCGUGUGCAGGUGUACUGGUGUGGACCAAGUGUUCAUUGUUCACAUUGCUGUUCGAGGAAUGGACUCACACUGCCCUAUUAGAUUAAUGUCUUCUCAUUUGUCUAUAUUAGAGCACAGAUUGAAGAACCAUGUUUUAAACUCUGCCUUUAGAUGCUAACAAAUAGUUGUCCUGAAAAGAUGGUGUUUCAUCAGACUAUCGUGGCUUUCUUCUUUGAUAUUUUAUUAUGUGGAGACACUACAAAUUGAUCAGCUAAGUGAGGGACUAAGGUGUUGGUUAUAUAUGAUCAAUCAUAUGAAAAUAAUGAAGUGAAAGACAAGGGCACUUGGAGGCUGGUGGAGGAUGGGAAGCUCAGUGACUACUUCCGUUCUUUACCGCAGCUGCUAAACUAGCUCUUCUCUCCUUGGUGUUUCCACACUCUGUACAUCACAGCUCCUUUGACACAUGCACGGUAUUUGUAUGGUCUCCCUCUUCUCCCCCCUCAUGUAAACACACACAUUGGAUGGUAAGCCAGCAAUUGUGACUAGUUUUUCUGUCUUUCUAGAACUGGGUAUAUUGCCUGAUAUACUGAAAUGUUUUAGCCAAUCAGAAAUGUUACAUGAAUAAUAAAAUGCAGCAUGUGAGCAAUGUAGCUGGCUUUCCUAUUAAUGCUUUAUUCAUGGUAGUUUUUAAAAAUUGAGAUGCUGUGAUGACACA